AGCGAACGCUGGCGGCAGGCCUAACACAUGCAAGUCGAACGAACCUUUCGGGGUUAGUGGCGGACGGGUGAGUAACACGUGGGAACGUGCCUUUAGGUUCGGAAUAACUCAGGGAAACUUGUGCUAAUACCGAAUGUGCCCUUCGGGGGAAAGAUUAAUCGCCUUUAGAGCGGCCCGCGUCUGAUUAGCUAGUUGGUUGAGGUAAUGGCUCACCAAGGCGACGAUCAGUAGCUGGUCUGAGAGGAUGAUCAGCCACAUUGGGACUGAGACACGGCCCAAACUCCUACGGGAGGCAGCAGUGGGGAAUCUUAGACAAUGGGGGCAACCCUGAUCUAGCCAUGCCGCGUGAGUGAUGAAGGCCUUAGGGUUGUAAAGCUCUUUCAGCUGGGAAGAUAAUGACGGUACCAGCAGAAGAAGCCCCGGCUAACUCCGUG
rnacentral:rRNA from 1 species